CGAAGUAUUUGUACACUGAGACCGAAAAGAUUGCGAAAAAUUUCCCACGAGUUUUGCACAAGAAAGUUAUAUUAAUUGUUCUGGUGGUUUUAUUAAUAUAAAUAUGAAGAAGUCAUCAGGAAAACCUAGCAUAAAAGGCAAACCUAUGGGAAUCAAAGACCAUGUUUUAGAUUUGUAUAGAAAUCCUUCUAAAUGGUGAGUGAAUGAAGUUGUACUCUGUAUAUUAGUCGAGAUAUUAGUGGACUGGUAUUAACCCUGUAAGUGGCAAUGCGCCCUGAUGCACCCUAUUUUAUUAUUUUACUCUGUCUAACGCCAGAUGAUUUAACUCGUCAAGGGGAGUGUGCUGCCACUUAAUGAGUUAAACUUGUUGACAUAUUUCUGAAUUAUAUGGCUCCCCCCACCCUGUAAAUAUAAAUUUGGCCUUUGCCAAAUCACCAAAACUAUUAUUAGCUAUAUUUCAGCAUAAUUUCUUGCUGACCAAAGGUCAUCAUUCCCACAAUGUCAUUUUCACAAUGUUUUAACAUGAUCAUGAAAAGAUAACAAGUUUUCCCAAGCGAAAAGAACCAUCCGCGGUUUUGUUAAGAACUUUCACCCAUUCAUGUUCUUUGGGCUCAAGACCCUAAUUGAAAACUAUUUAAUUCCUGUUUACAGGAGAUUUAUCAAGCAUACAUCAAUAUUCAUACUAGCAGUGUACGGAGCUAGGUCGUUUUCCGAUAUAGACCUCAUGGCGCCACCCCAACCACUACAAUAAGAAUGUAUAUUAAAUAUAAGAAGAAUUCAAUGGCAGGUAUGUUCCAGGGUUUUCAGAAAUUUAUUUUAAGAAUGGAAUGGUUCCGGUUAUGAGGCUCACCAAGGGGUUAUAACAGACAGGCAACAUUCCUUAAUUAAAAAGAAGUGACAGACUAUCUAAAAAAGAGCCACAAAGGACAGCUUAUGGGAAAAAGUGACAAAUUGUGAUUUGUGUUAUGGGUCAAAAGUGACAGUGACAUUUAUUUCAAUAAAACAAGCAACAAAGCGGCUACAAAAUGAGUGCAACCUAGGUUACACCCUUGGUGGGCCUCUGUUAUGAACUAGUGAUAAUUUCAGUUUCAUAAUAAAAGUAAUUUUUAUGCAGUCAAAGUAAAUGUGAAAUUAUUUUUGUUUUUAGCUAUGAAGGGAAAGAUUUGAAAUUUGGCAUAUCAUUCAGUGGUUUUAGCAAGAUUGUCCAUUUUAUUUCUUUUCACUUUUUCCAAGAGUAUUACUUGGUAGUUGUUCAAUUUAUGUAGUACAUACUGUAACUUGUGAUUAAUUUUGAUAAAAUACAGAAAUAAAGUAGAUUUCUUGUAAAUUAUUAGUAAUUUAUUGUUACUUUUGUUUGUGCAGUUGAAUCUCCUGACUGCUUCCAUUUUCCUCCCGUCAAGUUGACGACUCUGUUUUUAGAUUUGAUCAUGGCUACUCUUUAUAAUCACAACGGUUCUGCGCGACCUCCGGGGAAAACCUG